UUUUCUCUGCAUAGAGUUUGCACUUCUUUUCAGCUAUCAGUGGUCAUCAGAAGGGUUUGGCUGCAGAGCAGAACUGCUUGGACUGGGAUGUUCAAGUGCUGAUCUCAUUGAUGCUGUGACUGGAAAUGAAAUCAAGUUACUCCUUUGCCUCAUUAUCCCUGAGACGGAGUUGGUAGACAUUUAUCAGUAUGGAAAGAAAUGCCUCAGCAUUACUUAAGUGUUAGAUGGAAUUCAUAAGCCGAGACUGUGGGGGAUAAACAAGGAUUUGGGACACAACCUGGCUCCAGCGCUCCUUUGAGUGGUAGGCUGGGUGCCUGGCCAUGGUGAUGGAGAAGCUCAGUGGAAUACAGCCUGGCAGUCAUUUAGAGCCUAGGUUUCUACAUGAGGCGUGGACAUGUUGAGAUUCAUCUGGUUUGUCUCCCACUUUGUGCUGUGUUUCCCAUUGCUGGCUAAUCCCAGAGCACACCUGGAUUCAUUCUGGAUGAAUGAAUUUGGUUGACAACUUCAUGCACACCAGCUGUGAAAGGCUUUCUGACAGCUCUUGAUCAGGCCCACAGGCUGAAGUAGGAAACCCUUGUAAUAUGUAGGGUGCAGCUGCCAAGUCCCAGCGCUGCUAGCUUGUGCUGCUUGCAUGUGGUGGUACAACCCAUGGCUUGUGCUGGAGGGCAGAUGGGAGGAGAGGCCUCUGUGCAUGGUUCAGAGCUUCUAUGGCUUUCCUUUCCAGCUCUUAUGAAAGCAUUUUCUUUAUUUGUAGUGAACUACUUUCUCAGUGAAAUGAGGGGGCUCCAUUACAAUGUCAUCAGUACAGCAUGCUGCUCCCUGCGUGAGCCUUUAUCUCCUUGGAAAAAGAACUUAGAUAUUCUGCCAAUCCAGCCAUGCAACUCUAAGUAAGCUAGAGAUGACCUCAAAACCAACACAGCUAAACCAACAUCUAAAUAAUUCACAGAGAAAUAGAUAUGUUGCUAGUGGUGUAUGCUGUUGCAUGUUGUGGUGCUCUGAUGCGUUUUUCAUUCCAGCCAAUAUUUUUCAGCUGAGCUCUGAUGGUUGUUGUCUUGCUGCAAAGUCAUCUGUGACACUUGCAGGUGAGAGGCCAGUGCAGGAGCGUGAAAACAUUUUUCAGCCAUCUUUCAAGUAGUUUUAACAAUCAGAAGAAAAAGUUGUAUUAUUUAAACAGAGCUUUAAUAUGAACUUCAUACUGAACUUUGCUUUAAUAAUAAAGGUUUUUCUUCUGACUGUUAAACCAACAUUAAAGCAGGCUGAAAACUAGUUUACACUUUCUUCCACCAGGUUCGCAUUCUUCUUGCAUACAUGUAUGACUGCUCCCCUGCCUGUUUCUUUUGCGUGCUAUAAACUUCUCUCAUAUACUGUUGGGUGAUGUUGAGUACCCCAGCUGAGAGUUCAUGGGAUAACCUGUACAGUAAAUGAGAGACAUUUAUGAUACCCAGAAGAGAUGUGCAGGGAAACCAUUGUAACUGUGUCUUAAAACUCAAUGCAUUUCUUGCUGGUGCUGUACAGCUUGGUUACUCCUGGAAACACUGUGUUCCAUGGGUUUUCCAUUGGUGUAGAGGAAGUUGAGCUCCCAGUCCUGGGGUGAGCAGGCAAGUUUGAUCAGAGCUGGUUUGGAAAGGGCUCUUCUUGAAGGAGCAGUGCAAAGAAAGCCUCCGGGGCUUGGGGUGGUAAAGCUUUAAUAAAUAGGUGCUACUGCACUGGGGAUGUGCGUAGGUGUUGUGAGAUGGUACAAACACUUCACUUUCCUACAGAACGUUGUUUGUAGCCUUAGAUGUGUAUAGACCUCAGGUAUAGCUGAAAAAACAUGGCAAUGAAAAGCAUUCUAUGGGCUGAAAUAGCACCCUGUCCUCACUGAAGAAUGUCACACGCAUUUGGUUCCAGGUUAGCGGAU
ensembl:lncRNA